AUUGAACGCUGGCGGAAUGCUUUACGCAUGCAAGUCGAACGGCAGCACGGGGGGCAACCCUGGUGGCGAGUGGCGAACGGGUGAGUAAUACAUCGGAACGUGCCCAGUCGUGGGGGAUAACGUAGCGAAAGCUACGCUAAUACCGCAUACGAACUCUGGUUGAAAGCGGGGGACUCGCAAGGGCCUCGCGCGAUUGGAGCGGCCGAUGGCAGAUUAGGUAGUUGGUGGGGUAAAGGCUCACCAAGCCGACGAUCUGUAGCUGGUCUGAGAGGACGACCAGCCACACUGGGACUGAGACACGGCCCAGACUCCUACGGGAGGCAGCAGUGGGGAAUUUUGGACAAUGGGCGCAAGCCUGAUCCAGCCAUUCCGCGUGCAGGAUGAAGGCCCUC
rnacentral:rRNA from 1 species